rnacentral:tRNA from 1 species
GGAUAAGUGACUGAGAGGUUUAAAGUGAUAGUUUUGAAAACUAUUGUAUUGUAAAAUACCGUGGGUUCGAAUCCCACCUUAUCCU